ensembl:lncRNA
AUGGGAAGCUCAUAUAGGGGUCCUCUGGUGGUCUUUGAGAACCUGAAAGCUCCUGUCGGGUGCAUGGAGGUGGAAGAUUGUGAAUGUUGGAUCUGCCAGGCAGUGACGAAGAAGCGUCUGUGGGGAAUAGCUGGAAAGAAAAGGCAGGAAAAUGCAAAGUGCUCGAGGGUCCCUGGGAGCCAUUUCAGCACUCUGACAAAAUCAUUUCUGCAGAUAAAAUAUUCAGAAAAGCAGUUAUGUUUUCAUUUAAAACAUCAUGUCCUCUGUAAGUUCUAUUUAAUUUCAAACCAAACACUUGGGCUUAUCUCAGACUUUCGUUGUGUUUUUGUAGGCGUUUGUUCGCUAUCCAUUUUAACCAUUGGAAAAAAAAAAAAGGUUGUUGACUCUUCUGCUCUUGUUUGGUUUUCUGCGCUUAUAUGUACUGUGUAACAACAGAGCAAGGCUAAAGAAGUGUGCAUAUCUGCUCUCUUUUGGAAAGUUACAUUAUCCUGUUUUAUAAACUGUUGACAUACAUUAACCUUUAUUGCAAAUCACUGUGAAAAGGAAAAACAUACAGAAUGUACGUAUGUGCUGCUAUACACUCUUAAACAUAAAGAUGCCACAAAUAUCCCUUUUCAUCAUCUAAAGAACCACUUUUCACUAUUAACAAUAAAGGUUCUUUAUUGGCAUCUAUGGUUACAUAAGCGACCAUGGAACCUUUCCGUAUAGCAUAAAAGGUUCUUUAGAGUAGAAAAGGUUUAUUGAGAUUAUUAAAAUCUUCUUCAUACUGAGAAAAAAAAGGGUUCUUUUAAGAAUUGUUUACUGAAAGGUUCUUUGGAGAACCUAAAUUAGUUCUAUGCACUCUUAAAAGUAAAGGUUCCUAAUUGGCAUUUAUAGUUCCAUGAAGAACGUUUAACAUCCAUGGAACUUUUCCAUUGUAUAGAAGGUUCUUUAUAGUGAAAAAAGGUUAUAUUAUUAAAACAGAGCAGAAAAAUUGUUCUCUUAACUGUUCAGGAACUGGUUCUAUGGGCAACCCAAAUUGGUUCUUCUGAAGCAUUGCUGCGAAACCCCCCUUUUACAACUUAUUUUUUAAGAAUGUGGCAUAGCUGACAAAAAAACCCUUUUGGAACCUUUAUAGUGCACAAAAAAGAUUUUGUGCAAUGAAAAUAAAAGUGAAGAUAUUAGAGGUUUUUCAUGGAACCGCAACAAAGAACCAUUUAAGAAACUUUAUUUUUUAUAAAUGCUGUAAUUCCCCUAACUUUGGAAGCAGGGAUAUUUUAAUGAGAACCAUUAUUGUAUAGUGACUUAUUUUUAGUUAUUUAUGUAUUUAUUUAAUUUGGAAGAUAUUUGUAACUUUGGUGUAAAACAGAUGAAUUUCCCUUCCUUAAAUUUUUUUAAAUUUAAUUAUUCUAAGUAUAUGUCAGUACAUACAAGAGAUAUUAGACAAAAGUAAUCAAAAAUAAGGGGGGAAAAUAUAUAUUCUCUCCCCGUCACCUUGCACUUCUGUCAGAUGGUAAUUGGGGCCAGUAAUUACUGUAAGUGGAGGGUUAACAGGCAAUUAACCUGAAAGAAACCAUAGAGAAUGUAAAAGAUCAAGAGAAUGGGAGAGACAAUUCAUGAUGAGUCCAACUAGAGUAACAUUUCCUUUCAAUGUUCUGAUCUUUGCCUCCCCUGUCAUCCAAAGGCCGGCUUUGUCAUACAAAAAGAGAGCUUUAGAUCAUAAAGUGGUCAUCAGCACUUAGAAAAAGCUGGACAAGGUCAAGUCAGACAGGACUAAAAAUAUGUGUUUACUGUGAUGUUUGAAGAGGUGAGUACAGCUGCACUGCUGGCUGAUUUGCUUUAGCGUGUUUCUUCUGACAGUCUGUGAAUGUGCACUGUGCCAUCUCAAAACACGUUUUGAAACGUUUCUUUGUCUGACCUUGUAAGAAGAUUAGCUCUGCUAAAUGAGUGCUUGGAGCCGUUCUGAUUCAAACCUUGCAGGUCUGGCAGGUCAACUAGUAAAAUUAAGUUAAGUAAAGUCCACUUUGACUCUAGAGGAAGUAGAGAUGGGCCUGUCUGUCCGUCUCUGAGAAAAAUGUGGGAUAUGUUCGGUGAUUGAGCCCCUGAGGUCUCUGACACUCCGCACAGCUUUAAAAACCUUAACCUAAGCUGAUGUGAACGAUCUCCCCUUGGCUCCUCUGAGAAGGGUGCGUGUGCGACGAGGAAGGGGGGGUGGUUAGUUUAUUGAAGCUGAAAUUAUUUUAGCCUACCUCUAUGUAAGGAUGUGCUUUGCCAAGCAGACUGGCUGACUAAAGCUUAGCUUACUUUUUUCCUCAAUGCAUUUACAUUCCCAACACCUGCAUCACUUAUUUUAUUUUUUAACCACUUCCCACCCACUUUUUUGCUCCAUUAAACUCCUCAUUUGAAUAUGGCAUGCUGGAGAUACUGUAUAUUGCUCUGCCAAAAGCUCCUCCAUAAUCAGGGACGCUACAGACCUCUCUGAGCUUUGUGUGUGGCUGUGCAGGUUCAUGAGGUUCUGUAAUCGCACACAUUCAGCGCGGUCCUCCUCACCUGUUCCCUCUCUUCGCUAUCAGAAACUCAUCCGUCAGUAACCUGGACAGUGUUAGAGGGCCUUUAAUGUAUCUGCUGUGGCUUAUUGUCCUUCCGGCUUUUCCCCUCAAGUCCAAUGAAGUGUGGAGCAAUCAUGGGCCUCUGUGGAGAAUGGAUAGAGCAGUUUUUUCAGAAAGGUGGGGGGGGGUUACAGUAGUUUGUGCAUGCACAUUUCCAGAGUAGCAAUCUUCCCUUCCUUUUUCCGCUCUGAAUAAAGGUGAUGAAAUCCCUCUCGCUGCCACUAAUCUUGAGCUGACAGAGAGGGCUGCUAUACAAGACUCUCUCUAUCUGUUGUGAGAGGCAGUGGACGCCUGCUUGUAAGCCGCUUAUGAUAUUGACUGCCUGCUUCCUUUCCUUUUCAGUGUGGCCCAGCCACUUAUGGGUAUACACACACUCACACAGUCUGACGUGUCGUCAUGAGGAAAUUCUUAUUUUGUCCCUCAUGACUCAAAGUGUAUGAAAGUUGAGAAAGCUGUGAGAAUGUUUCUUUCUCCAUCGAGUGGACUGCAUUGGGUAUUGAUUAAGCUAGUGAAUCGAGAAACCGUUCUUAUUCAGACUUGAUUCCAUUUUUUUUAAAAAAGUAAUAAUAUUAAUAAUAAACACACUGGAACUGAAUGACUCAUUACUUAUUCGUCAGCCAUGCAAUACCACAACUGCUAUAAAUCCAUAACACACAACAG